CAUUUUGGGAGGCUGAGGAUGGGGGUGUCCUGGGGCUACCACAGGGAAGGACCCGGCACAGAGCUCCCUCUGGAACCCGGCACUGCGGCCCGCGCCCUCUACUCCCCGCGCGCCGGCCAGCAACCCUCGGCGCUGCCCGGUGCAGCCCGCCCGAGCGCACACAAU
rnacentral:antisense_RNA from 1 species